rnacentral:sRNA from 1 species
CCGGGCAACGUCAACUUGAUCGUUUUGCGAUGCCAGCUUGCCCACGGCUUCGCCAAUCGACGGAUGCCAUGCCACGGCGCGAUCAACGGCUUUUUCAAGGCUGAGCAGCCCCGGCGCAGCGGUCUCCAGCGGUAACGCGCUCACGCCGUCCAGAGACGGUAGCGCCUGCUGCCGGGCAAGUUCAGCUGAAGCGAUAGUCGGCGGAGCUUCGGCGGCAGACAGUGGAAACGGACACAGACAGCUUACCAGCCAUCCGACAACGGGCCGUAAUUUUCGCAUAGAUUAUCCCUAAUAAAAUGUUGCUGCUUGUCUUGCCCCGGACGACAUCGUCCGGGGCUAUUUU